CUAGAAAUGUAAUUUGACCUACACUUUUUCAGACGGCAGACGAAGCAACAGAAGUUCUUACCAUAAUCUUCACCUGUUUCUCCCAAAUUUGCCCCCAAUUCAUUCUCAGUCGCCAAAGAGUCCGAGCAAUUAUUAUAUGUACAAUAAUCAAUCAGCUGCAUAAUGAAUUGGAGUAUACGAAUCAUCAAACAGUUUGUGAAAUUCAUCAUGAUGAGAGUAUACGAACCGCUAAGGUAAUCAAUUGUAUUGAAUUGCACCAGCAAUCGUUCCCUUCUCCUCUCCAACAAAACCAUCCCCAUCAUGAAGAUAACUCACGAUGUUCAGAUCUAGGGUUCCGGCUCUUCCUUGUCUUCUCCGAACUCAGGUUUCUUAAAGCACCUCCAACUCUCAUUCACUAACCCUAAUUUUAAUCCCAUCAUCAGCUUUCAGAAAUUUCAAGAGAUUUGGUGAUGCUUUUCCUCUUCAGGUCUCGAAUUGCAACCCUGUAAUGACAAAUUACAGGAGAACGAUUGGAUGUACUGAAGAUAUUAAUAAUUGAUGAAGUGAUAUCUUGUGCGGGGAUUCAAUGAGAAUUUAGGGAUGUUUGGAUUUCGAUUUUCAACUCUUGUUAUGCUGUUUAUAAUGCAAUGCCCAAAGCAAAUAGGGAUGAAGUCUAAAUUAUGCAGGUUUUUUUUAAUUAUCAACUGAUUUCUUAUGUUGAUGUUUUGUAUAAUGAUUUAAAUUAAGAGAAAAACAAUAAACCUCAGUUCCUUGGAGGUUAUCAGCUUUGAUAUUACAUAAUAUUUUUCUACUUUAUUAUUUUAAUAUUAAUUGGGUGUCAUCAACAUGGAUUGUGUGCUGGUUGAUUCUAAUUGGGAUGCAAUAAGCGCCUCUAAUAGGGCCAUGUUUCUGUUUGGUGCCACAAACUCAUCUCAUAGGUAAUGUAUUUUUGGUCAAAUUUGUUUAUACUGGUGUAUAUAAAGGAAAGAAUGCGAAUUAUAUUGGUGAUAUGGCAGUUGUAUUGCCGAGGAAGUUAGAGUGGUCCGGGUUUGUGAUGAACUCACAGUUGGUAUGGAACACAACUGAAUUUAGGCCGGAUUGGAUCAAAGAUUUGGACGUGGUGGUGGCCGCGGAUGGAGAGGAUGAUAUUGGGAGUCCUCUUUCUUUGGUUAAGGACGCAAUCUCAAUUCGUAUUGUUUUCUGCAUUACUAAUUUCAUUUAUUAUAAAAUGAAGGUUUCAUGGUAAGCUCCCUUUUAGGAGGUGCUUUUGUUGGAUCUUCAGUCAGUGGCUAGAUCGCUUACGGGGUUGGACGUCGAAGAGGAUUCCAAUUGUGUGCCAUACCACUGAUAGUCGGUGCUGUAAUGAGUCCCACAUCAGAUGAUCUUGGGGGUAUGCAUAUUGGAAGGUUUCUUGUUGGAAGUGCAAUGGGGGUUAGCCCUCCUAUCGCAGCUCUGUACAUUAUAGAGUUAGUCUUCACCGGCUUUUGUAAGAGGAACUUACGGAAGCUUCACUCAGAUCGCAACGUGUCUUGGACUUAUUUGUUUUUUCUUCAUCGGGAUCCCAGCAAAGGAUGUUACGCGUUGGUGGUGGGUCUGCUUCUGGGUAUCUACCGUUCCGGCAGCCUUGCUUGCUCUUCUAAUGGAGUUCUGUGCAGAAAGUCCCCAUUGGCUUUUUAAGAGAGGAAGAAGUGCAGAAGCUGAAGCAAAGUUUGCAAAGCUCCUCGGAAGCUUACAUGUCAAGUCUGCAAUGGCAGAAUUGUCCAAGUCAGACAGAGGGGAUGAAGUAGACGGAGUAAAGCUUUUAGAGUUGUUCUACGGAUGCCAUUUCAAAGGUGUGUGUGUAUAUAUAUCACCAUAUUCACUAUACCUUUUUCCCAAUUAAAGUACAUGUUUUUUAAAUUUCAAGUUGAUGCUUUGCUUUCAUAUAUGUAUAGUUAAAGACGAAUCUUUUAAAUUUCAAGUUGAUGAUUUGCUUUCUUAUA